UCGGAGGAAGGUGGGGACGACGUCAAGUCAUCAUGCCCCUUAUGUCUUGGGCUGCACACGUGCUACAAUGGCCGGUACAAUGAGCUGCGAUACCGCGAGGUGGAGCGAAUCUCAAAAAGCCGGUCUCAGUUCGGAUUGGGGUCUGCAACUCGACCCCAUGAAGUCGGAGUCGCUAGUAAUCGCAGAUCAGCA
rnacentral:rRNA from 1 species